rnacentral:rRNA from 1 species
CCUACGGGCGGCAGCAGUGAGGAAUAUUGGUCAAUGGACGAGAGUCUGAACCAGCCAAGUAGCGUGAAGGAUGACUGCCCUAUGGGUUGUAAACUUCUUUUACAUGGGAAUAAAACGUUCCAAGUGUGCGAUGUUGUACGUACCAAAUGAGUAAGGAUAGGCUAACUCCGUGCCAGCAGCCGCGGUAAUACGGAGUAUCCGAGCGUUAUCCGGAUUUAUUGGGUGUAAAGGGAGCGUAGAUGGAUUGUUAAGUCAGUUGUGAAAGUUUGCGGCUCAACCGCAAAAUUGCAGUUGAAACUGGCAGUCUUGAGUACAGGAGAGGUGGGCGGAAUUCGUGGUGUAGCGGUGAAAUGCUUAGAUAUCACGAAGAACUCCGAUUGCGAAGGCAGUUCACUGGACUGCAACUGACACUGAGGCUCGAAAGUGUGGGUAUCAAACAGGAUUAGAUACCCCAGUAGUC